rnacentral:misc_RNA from 1 species
AAGUCGUAACAAGGUUUCCGUAGGUGAACCUGCGGAAGGAUCAUUAACCGUGUCUGUUGAGACAUGUGAUGUGGUGUGUGACGUAUGCGUGGUCCAUGUGGCCAUAUUUUUUAUUCUUUUACGGUUCAUCUAAUCCAACCAAUAACCAGUAAAACUGGCAGCAAUGGAUCCCUCGGUUCUC